rnacentral:rRNA from 1 species
CAGUAGCCGCGGGAAUACGUAGGGUGCGAGCGUUAAUCGGAAUUACUGGGCGUAAAGCGUGCGCAGGCGGUUUGUUAAGACAGAUGUGAAAUCCCCGGGCUUAACCUGGGAACUGCAUUUGUGACUGGCCGGCUAGAGUAUGGCAGAGGGAGGUGGAAUUCCACGUGUAGCAGUGAAAUGCGUAGAUAUGUGGAGGAACACCGAUGGCGAAGGCAGCCUCCUGGGCCAAUACUGACGCUCAUGCACGAAAGCGUGGGGAGCAAACAGGAUUAGAUACCCCGGUAGUCCCUGUCUCUUAUAC